rnacentral:rRNA from 1 species
CCCUUAGAUGUUCUGGGCCGCACGCGCGCUACACUGACGAUGGCAACGAGUUUUUCCUUCGCCGAAAGGUGUGGGUAAUCUUUUGAAACAUCGUCGUGCUGGGGAUAGAUCAUUGCAAUUUUUGAUCUUGAACGAGGAAUUCCUAGUAAGCGCGAGUCAUCAGCUCGCGUUGAUUACGUCCCUGCCCUUUGUACACACCGCCCGUCGCUGCUACCGAUUGAAUGGUUUAGUGAGGACUCCUGAUUGGCGCCGCCGCCCCGGCAACGGAGCAGCGGACUGCCGAAAAGUUGUUCAAACUUGAUCAUUUAGAGGAAGUAAAAGUCGUAACA